GGAAAAUGUACAGGUGUAUAUUUUCAAAUAUCAGCUCAAAAAGUUAAGUUAUCUAAUCAAGCAUAUUAUAAUAUAGUUGAUAUUACUCAUAAGUAUAUUGCUAUAUGUAUUAUGAGGUCAAAUAUGUAUUUUGCAUUUACCAAUGGGAACAUUUAGUUGUGAUGUGUUAUGUAGUUAAUAAAAUCUAAUUUAGAAGGCAUUUUGCCAGCGCUGCAGCUCACUAGGCUAAUCCUCCUCCUGCGGCGCUGUCACCCCGGAUUCUAGUUCCGGUCGGGGCGCCGGAUUCUGUCCCGGUCGCUCCUCUUCCAGGCCAGCUCUCUGCUGUGGCCUAGGAAGGCAGUGGAGGAUGGCCCAGGUACUUGGGCCCUACACCCACAUGGGAGACCAGAAGGAAGCACCUGGCUUCAGAUUGGUGCAGUGCGCCGGCAGUAGCAGCCAUUUUGGGGGUGAACCAACGGAAGGAAGACCUUUCUCUCUGUCUCUCUCUUUCACUGUCUAACUCUGCCUGUCAAAAAAAAAGAGGCAUUUUAAAAUCUUCACUCAGUGCUUUCCACAUAGAAGGCAAUUUCAUAAAGUGUAUGAACUCUUCACUCUUUUGUUCACCCCAAUCAAAUAUUUAUUCCAUACCCCUGGACUGUUAGCAAGCACGUAAUGUGAAAACCUAGUGUUCACAGUACAUUUUAAUUAUCACAUCCCAUAUCAUUAUUCAACUUAGGGUAAAUGAAAUUUACACCUCAAUGUGACUAUUUCUGUCUGGUUGGUAAGAUGGAGGUGAGUCGACAUAGUUGGAAACUGAGCUAUAUUAAUAUUUUGCUGUUGCUAUCCCAAUUAUUUGAUUCUAUCCCCCUUGCUAUAAACCUGCAUCUUACUGGUUCUCUGCUUAGUUUUCCUUAUAUAUACAUAUAUUUUAUAAAUAUAUAAGGUAUUUUUAUAUUUAUAAUAUAUACUAUAUAUGAUAGUAAUUUGCUAUCAUUAUAGUUUCUUUUGCUGUCCUUUUAAGUGGAGUAAUGUUUGUUAUUCCAGAUACUACAUUUUUUUCGGCAAUAGUGGUUUCGUCUGUCUUCUGACAUCCGUAGGUUCUUCUACUUUCUUGAACAUCUGGAAUAAACUUUCCGUGAGUAUUUUAAUGCAUGUGUUGCCUCUUCUGUUGUUGGAUUAUUUCCACUGGUUGACUUUCCCCCUGGUUACUUAUUGAUUUUCAUAUUUUAUGUCUAAGUUUGGUUUUCCUAAUUUUUGCCAUACUUGGAAUGCAAUCAAAUUCUUGCUCUGCGGUUUACACAAUGGAUGGUUUCCAUCGAAUCUGAGAGCUUGGUCUCAUUGUUUUCUUCUGUGUUCCCCAAGAGAUCAGGGUUUUUGUUCAGUUUUUUUAAAACCUCAACAAUAACACUAAUAUUGGAUUGCAUUCUGGUGCUAAUUCUUCCAGUUUGGUAAUUUAGGGUAAAACAGCCCCAUGCAAUCUACAUGUAAAAAUAG
rnacentral:lncRNA from 1 species